GCCUCUCCUCGGCCCUGUCCUCCGCCUCCAACUCCCCGCCUCCAAGCGAUGAGGACAGCCCGAGAUCCAUGGUGACGGCGGCUGCAGUGGCCCGAUGGAAGUGGCGGCCAUCCCACACCGUUGCCGCAUGCUUCUGCCACUCACGUUGGCCAUGGAUCUGCAACAGGGGCCUUCCUCCUCCGUCUCCCAGAGCCCGCACCUGAUUCUCCAUCCGGAGAUUCAGGGCAGCAAGUGCCGGACGAGGACCGUGACCUGCUGGAGGCCCGAGCGCGACCUCGUCAACGGUGACCACGCCCCACACAAGAUCAGUAGGAGCUCUCUGCCUCUCCAAUUCCAGGGACGGCGACGACCGAGGCCCCACGCUCAAACCCGACGAGCUGGAAUGGCGAGGUCAUCCGAGCCGACCAUCAUGAUUCCCCACAGAACAAUAAGAUCUUCGGAUGUUGGUGCUGAGAUUGAUGUGGCCCUAGCUACAUGUAAGCGAAGCUUAUGAUGUCGAUCCUUCAGGCUGCACUGCCAUCAUGUUACCUCACAAACUACUGGUGGUAUGAUUGCGUACUGGGCUACUUGGUGCUG